GCAUAUCAAUAAGCGGAGGAAAAGAAACUAACAAGGAUUCCCCUAGUAACGGCGAGUGAAGCGGGAAGAGCUCAAGCCUAAAAUCUGCAGGUUGUUUUAUUACAAUCUUGUCGAAUUGUAGCUUAUGGAAGCAGUUUUAUCUUUCUGCCAGUAGCCAGUAAAAGUUCUUUUGAAUAAGACAUCAAAGAGGGUGAAAAUCCCGUAUUUGGCUGGUUAUUGGUGGGGAUUUAUGUACUGUUUUCUUUGAGUCGGGUUGUUUGGAAAUGCAGCCCUAAUUAGGAGGUAAAUUUCUUCUAAAGCUAAAUAUAAGCAAGAGACCGAUAGCAUACAAGUACCGUGAGGGAAAGAUGAAAAGCACUUUGAAAAGAGAGUGAAAAGUACGUGAAAUUGUUGGAAGGGAACCGGUUGGUAGCAAAGCAUCUGCAGUUGGUCAGUUGAGGGGGCAACUUCUUUUCUGAUUGGCGAGUGGGGAGUCAACAUCGGUUGGUAUUGCCUGAAAGGAGAAUUUAGCGUGUUAGCGGUGGUAAGGUAGAGUAGUUUGUUUGGAUUUAUCCAAUUAGAUUGCUUGUUAUAGACCAUCAUUUGCGCGUUUCUGAAGCCUUUGGGGUGGUGGCGACCGAGGUAAAUUCAGCAGUGUGGACUUUUUCGAAAGUACUGGUUGGAUGUGUUUGGGUAUUGUUUUACAAGAGGUUUGGACAGCUUGCUGACCAGGUUUUCUUUUAGAAUAUAUUCUUAUGCAUUCAAACCUAAGAAACACUUUGGAUGUUGGCGAAAAAGCACCAAUCGACCCGUCUUGAAACACGGACC
rnacentral:rRNA from 1 species